UACGAAGGGGGCUAGCGUUGUUCGGAAUUACUGGGCGUAAAGCGCGCGUAGGCGGGUUGCUAAGUCAGGGGUGAAAUGCCGAGGCUCAACCUCGGAACUGCCUUUGAUACUGGCAACCUGGAGAUCGGGAGAGGUGAGUGGAAUUCCGAGUGUAGAGGUGAAAUUCGUAGAUAUUCGGAGGAACACCAGAAGCGAAGGCGGCUCACUGGCCCGAUACUGACGCUGAGGCGCGAAAGCGUGGGGAGCAAACAGG
rnacentral:rRNA from 1 species